GCUCAGGAUGAACGCUAGCUACAGGCUUAACACAUGCAAGUCGAGGGGUAGCAGGGUAGCAAUACCGCUGACGACCGGCGCACGGGUGAGUAACACGUAUCCAACCUUCCCAUAACUCGGGGAUAGCCUUUCGAAAGAAAGAUUAAUACCCGAUAGUACUUUUUUAGGGCAUCUUAGAAAAGUUAAAGAUUUAUUGGUUAUGGAUGGGGAUGCGUUCCAUUAGAUAGUUGGUGAGGUAACGGCUCACCAAGUCUUCGAUGGAUAGGGGUUCUGAGAGGAAGGUCCCCCACAUUGGUACUGAGACACGGACCAAACUCCUACGGGAGGCAGCAGUGAGGAAUAUU
rnacentral:rRNA from 1 species